UACGUAGGGUGCAAGCGUUGUCCGGAAUUAUUGGGCGUAAAGAGCUCGUAGGCGGUCUGUCACGUCGGCUGUGAAAACCUGGGGCUCAACUCCGGGCCUGCAGCCGAUACGGGCAGACUAGAGUUCGGCAGGGGAGACUGGAAUUCCUGGUGUAGCGGUGAAAUGCGCAGAUAUCAGGAGGAACACCGGUGGCGAAGGCGGGUCUCUGGGCCGAAACUGACGCUGGGACGCGAAAGCGUGGGGAGCAAACAGG
rnacentral:rRNA from 1 species